CUCUCUCUCUCUCUCUCUCUCUCUUUCUCUCUGUCUCUUCAACACAAUGAUGUUUAUCGUAAAAGCUCUUAAAGCUAGAACGUAAGACACACGAUAGCGCAUCUUCUUGGCGAUAAAAGCUUUAAACGGUGCGUUCACUUUGGUAUCCCGUCGAGCGCAGUAGCGCAAUGUGAAAGACGAAGAAGAAGACGAAAGAUAAAAAGAAGAAGAAGAAGAAGAAGAAGAUGAAAAAAAAGAAGAAAAAGAAGAAGUUCUUCCUUACAUGGAUUUUUAAUGGGGAAAAAGAGCUGUACGGUGGUCGCGUGCCAAAGUUAAUACUUGUUUGAGUAUCAAGAAGUGUUAGUAUGUCUGAACGAUACACCUGUCCACCAUCUUGGUCGGCCGAUCUUAAAGUACAAGAAACAAGGCCCAACGAUGAGGGCCCAACUAAAAAAGCGGCGCAAUGUCGCGCUAGAAGAACCGGGGAAAAGGCCAAAAGAGAGAAAGAGAGAGAGACCCUUCAUCAGUAUAAUAAAGUCGAACGCCAAGGGACGAGGAUGAUGUUCGUUCGACCGGAAAAAUUGAUAUGAAAAAAAAAGGACAACGACUUUUCAACGAUAUAUGGGAACGAUUUCCAAAAUAAAUUUAUUAUACCACAAAAAGAAAAAGAAAAAAAAAGGAAAAAAAGGAAGAAAGGGAGAAAAAAACAAACAAACAAACAAACGAAUGAACGAACGAACGUAAUAAAUUUCAAAUCGGCUGCAAUAUCGCUCUAUCGAGAAUAAAAUAUAAACAAAAACAAAGAAAAACAAAGAAAGACAAGAUUACAUAAAAAUAAUUUCUAUCGAUUAAAACGGAUGAUUGGAAAUUUUAUAAAAAUUGCAAGAUACCGCUAUAAUCAAGUGGAGAAGUAUCAUCGACUAAAAUACACUUACAUCACACCAAUCAAUAGUGCAUACAUUUGGAAUAUAUCCAAGUAACAAACGAGUAGUAUACUAUCAUCGCUUAUGCGUUUCGUAGCAAGCAUGUACCGUUGCAGAGAGAUCCAACCAACAGUAAAAUGAGAGGGAGAGGAGGAAGAAGAGGAGUAGGAGCAGGAGGAGGAGGAAGAAGAGGAGGAGGAAGAAGGAGUGCAGAGAAGGAGAAGAAGGAGAGAAUGGUCUGAAUGGAAUAGCGAAUCGACUUUCAAGGGAAACCUCAGAGGAGACAAGUUCUCGACUAUUCCCAUCACUUUCCAUUGUCUACUAUGAAUCUUGAUUCUAUAUACGAAUGUAUGUGUUCCUAUCUGUGUGUGUGUUUAAGAAGCAUAGAUACAGAGAACACUAUUAGCACGUUUCUUCUCCCUCUCCAUAUACAUAUAUAGAAGAGCAAAAGAAAAGAAAAGAAAAAGA